AAGUCAUUCAGAUGGACCAUCCA
rnacentral:siRNA from 1 species